CCCAAAGCUUGUCAUGCCUAGAACCGUGGCCUGUGGAGAUGUCUAACAACAUCACAGUUCGUGACACUUGGGUGCCUGUGUGCUGUGGAGGGACCAGCAAAAACUGGCCAGCCUCUGAUCAGGCCCAGCGUUUCCCUCACAGAUCAACUUCACCGCUGAGAUGCCCAUUGGUCGGCUGGAAGCUGCCAGUCAGUGGUAAGGAUCCUGAGGGUCCUGCAAUGAGGCCCCCUGACCUGAACCGCCAUAGGAGCCAAUGGGAGCGUGUGACUGCAUCUGUCCUGAAAGGUCGCUUCUGCUGGGUGUUCUGUUACAGCAACAGGAAAAGAGACCAAUACAGAAGCUAAUUUUGGUGGAUUAACAUCAAGGCGGUGGCAAGGCUGGGCUUUCUAUGGAGACCUGGGGCUGAGUUUAUCUCCUUCCCUCUUCUAGCUUCUGGUGGCCACUAGCUUGGUGGUCUCUGGGGUCACCACCAUCCCUCCUUUCUGUGUGGAGCCUCCUCUCAUUAAGGACUUGGCUGGCAUCUUGGUCCACCCUGGGUCACCUGCACACCCAUGGCCAUCUCUCAGCAGCACUUGCCAAGACUUUGUCCUAUGUUUGUCUCUAUAAGGUGACUCUCGCAGGCUCUGUUAGGGUGAGCUCUCUGUCGCUGGGUCUGACAGGUUACAUUGGGCCUGGAAUUGGGACACAUGAUCUACAGUUCCAGCUGCUUUCAUAAUGGUGUGGUCCAACAUGGUGCCCGAGGUCCCAGGACACAGGAGAGAGAAGCUGGGGCCACCAUUGUCACUGCCGCUGUCUGUUCUGAGAGUGUGGAAAGCAGAAUACCAACUUCCACAGAGACUUUGAAACAGAGGUACCCACUGUUUGUCUGCAUGGACGUUUCCUAGGCUGUGCGGUCACAAACCCCAGCAUGGUCACUUCCCUGAAAGGUGUCAUCACUGGCCAGAGGAAGUGCGCUGUAGCAUAGCCAGGACAUGGUCAGUGGGUGUUAAGAGGGGUCAAGAGCCAGGGUUGAGGAGGCACAGAGCCCCUGCCUCUUGAGCUGCAGGCCAUCCCAAGAUACGUUAUCUCUGGCCAAGGACCUGAGCCUUCUAGAGACAGUGUUUGAGCUGCAGACAGGGGAAUCUGGUGUCUGUCCUGUGUGUGACCUGAGGAGGCACUUCCAAAGAAGCUUCUGGACAUGGAGAGAGGAAGAGGACCUCUGUCUGGGAGCACUGCUGCUGUUUCCACCAAGUCAGUCAUCUUAGAGAGCUCUUAUUAAUAAUAUUUUAGAGGCUGGAAGAGGUUAACAAUCUCCAAUAAAAUCCCAAGGACAGAAUCAUCAAAGGGUUGAUAGUAAAAAAUGAUACUAAGACCUGGAAGGGAUGGCCCACACAGGCACGAGGAUCUGAGUUCAAAUCCCCAGAACCCGCUUUAUGCUGGGCAGACAUUGUGGUGUGUGUCUGAAAUUCCAGUGCUCCUACAGUGACAUGAAAAGCUGCGUCAGGAGACUGCCCAAGAGUUCAAGGGCCAGUUAGCCCAGUGUACUCUACCUCCAGAGAAAGAUGCCCUGCCUCAAACAAGGUGGGAGAUAAAGACUGACACCUGAGGCUGACCUCUGACUCCUUCUGUGUACCAUGGCAGAGGGAUCACAACCCACAGAUUGAGAAUUGCUGUCCUAGAAUGAUACCCAGCAUGGGCACAGAACACAGGAUCCCUAACACCAGGAACCUGUCCAGGAAACACCCCAGACAGAGCUGUCACCAGGGACCAUCUGCAACCCCUGUGCCAUCUGCCAGCCCAUUGCACCUGACAAGAUGAGGAACUCAUUCCAACCCCUCAAGGCUGGAGUACACUGCCAGAAUGCAAGGGGUCAUGGAGAGCCCAGCAGAACCUUCGAAGACCCAAACAUAGAGGGUCAGCUGCCAUAUGUGGGUUUGCUCGCCGCCAUUCCCAGCCGCACACUUCCGCUGAGCUUCCCCAGCUCAUAGUCAGAACCCAAGAAGAAACAAAGAUUUGAAAUGAGGGUCAGUGGGUUCCAGGCUUCAGGGUUGCUUCUGUGCCAGAACGCCUGCUUGUUUCCAGUUGGGUGACCUUCGACAAGCGACUUCACCUCUCUGGUCUUUUGUCUUGCCACAAAAAUGUGAAUGACAAUAGAAGGUCCCUUUCAGGACAUCUGGUGGGACUAAGGCGUUGUGUGCCAAGGACACAGGACCUACCCUAGCUCACAAGAACAUCUAUAAAUAUGUAGCAGUUGCUAAAGAUGCACAGCGCUUGACAGUUUGGAGAAGGCUUUCCUGAUCACCUUUGCUCUGACUGAAAGACAGAAUGGCCCACCCUGGAACAGCUCAGAGAUUCCUCACACUGCCUGGGGGCUACAGAACCUGAUCUCCGAGGGCCAGCUUGUGGCCCCAAGCUGUGUUACAGCAUUGAUACUCUGGCUGGCUUGGAUCAGUUACUUCCCCUCUCUGAUCCUGAUUUCCUCAUCUAAGGAGUAAAAGCCUGCACAGUGUCCAGAUCUCCAGGGUCUCCACAGCCUCGUCAUCAACCUGAUGAAACUUUUUGCUUCAGUGGCAUCUCUGGUCCUGGUUAUAUCCUGAGUGUUUGCUUCAGCCUGCCUGGUGUCAGGUCUCAGCAGGUGGCUUCAGUAUCUUUCCAGUCCUCAAAGCAGCCUGGACAGAUAAACCAUGGAAUACCCAUUGUACCGAUGGGAAAACUGAGGUACAGAGAUGCACAUUCCACAAGAUAACUCACAAUACAAGCGACACCAGUUGGAGAGGAUUCUAACUCAUAGUGGUCUAAUUCAGCCUUGUACCCUGAUGUCACCUCUACCCAGGGAUCCAAGCCAGCUGAGCCAGUUCAGCUCCUUUGUAAAUCACCAGACUUCACCAAGUGUCUGUCAUCUUGGAACCUUCGUGAUGACGGUGAUAUAGCAAGACCAGCCCCCAGAGUGGUAAUCCUGACAUCACCAGGAUCCCUGCAUCCGUGCACAGCCCUGUGUGCUUGUGUUGCAGAGGCCUCUGCACCAGGUACAUGAGGAGGCAAGGCCUCAGGAGCCAGCCCUGCCCUAAAGCCCCUCAGUCUGGGAACGGUCGUCAGACGUGGAAGAGCCACAGAAAAGUCCAGAGAGAGCACCACUAGGUCUGGGGUUGCACAUGGCUUCUUUCUCGCUCUCCUCUUGAAGUCACACACACACACACACACACACACACACACACACACACACACACACCUGAGUCCCACUCAAGUGACGGCACUACAGCUUGUGUGGCCCAGAGCUGAACAAACUCCCUGGCAUAGAGCUGAAACUGCCCUCCCUGGCCCCUAAGUAGGAGAAUAAGGGGUCUGAGGAGCAGGGAUCAUCAUUACAAAAUCCCUUGCGAUUUGGAUUGUUCCCUAGCAACCCACACAGACUGCCAGCAGCCUGGGACUCCAACUCAUCUUAACUCACGGAUGACUUGUGGCCAGUGUUCCCUUCUCCAGCCAAACCUGAACUUUGCUCUGCAGAGAAACCUGACUUCACUGUUCCUGGUUGUCACCCAUGUUGUUCCUGCAUUGACCCCUUCGUGAGAGCCAACUGUGCCAUCUGCUCCAAGCCCUCGGUCACAUCCCUCCAGCAGGUUAAGGUCACCUGGGUGGUGAAUUACACCAGAGAAACUGGAAACCCUCUACCCACCUUCACCCUCCCCAGACCGGGGGCCCUAGCUGCUAAGUUUCUCUCAAUGUGAAACUUCAAAUGGCCCCAAUUUCCUUAAAGUCUCGGGUUUUAUCUUUAAUAUCCCGUGUGUUUUUCUGUUAUCCACAAAAUGUUUGUUAGUUCCUUAGGGCAUUUUAGGCUCACAAAUGGACUGACCUCAAACUCAAGAUUCUCCUGCCUCAGCCAUCUGAGUGCUGAGAUUACAGGCGUGCACCACCACACCUGACUAAGCUUAUUCUCAACUUCCAUAGGACCCUUUUUAAACGGCCAGCCACCUUGUUAGUGGUGGGGGUGGAGUGACAGCCCAAUGUUGCCCCCAACAACCUCGAGGCGUUGCCACCCAGCUCAGGGACCUCCACCCAGAUCUUCAGUUUUGCCACAGAAAGAACUUCGGGAUUAGCCACAGAGAAGCGAAGGUACUAAGUUUAUCAGCUAUUUUGAAGGAGUCAUGGAGAGGGACACGACACACUCACAUCAGGCUCAAACUCCUCGAGGAAGAGCAGCACUGAGGUGUAGUGUCGAGGGUUGCACAGGGGACCCUCUGCCUUCUAAGUGUGUUCUUCGGGGAUUUAUUUACACUAUGGUAUAAAGAUUAGGCGAAGCUUAAAUAAAACGGGUCUAAUUAUCUUUCUUAAAA